GCCUGGGUGGCUCAGUCGGUUGAGUGUCUGACUUCAGCUCAGAUCAUGAUCUCAAGGUCAAUGAGUUCAAACCCCAGGUC
rnacentral:tRNA from 1 species